rnacentral:rRNA from 1 species
GCCGAAGGCGGGGGAUAACCACUGGAAACGGUGGCUAAUACCGCAUAAUCUCUAAGGAGCAAAGCGGGGGACCAUUCUGGCCUCACACCUUCGGAUGAACCCAUAUGAGAUUAGUUAGUAGGUGGGGUAAUGGCUCACCUAGGCGACGAUCUCUAGCUGGUCUGAGAGGAUGAUCAGCCACACUGGGACUGAGACACGGCCCAGACUCCUACGGGAGGCAGCAGUGGGGAAUAUUGCACAAUGGGCGUAAGCCUGAUGCAGCCAUGCCGCGUGUAUGAAGAAGGCCUUCGGGUUGUAAAGUACUUUCAGUCGUGAGGAAG